rnacentral:rRNA from 1 species
CCUACGGGCGGCAGCAGUAGGGAAUUUUGCGCAAUGGGGGAAACCCUGACGCAGCAACGCCGCGUGAUCGAUGAAGCCCUUCGGGGUGUAAAGAUCUGUCAGUGGGGACGAAACCUUACGGUACCCACAGAGGAAGCACCGGCUAACUCCGGGCCAGCAGCCGCGGUAAUACGGGGGGUGCAAGCGUUGUCCGGAAUCAUUUGGCGUAAAUAGUUCGUAGGGGGCCCGUUAAGUCUGGUGUUAAAGGCGGAAGCUCAACUUCCGUAGGGCACUGGAUACUGGCGAGCUGGAGUGCGGUAGAGGGAAAGGGAAUGCCUGGUGUAGCGGUGAAAUGCGUAGAUAGAAGGAGGAACAGCGGUGGCGUAAGCGAUUUACUGGGCCGUAAUUGACACUGAGGAACGAAAGCCGGGGUAGCAAAUGGGAUUAGAUACCCCUGUAGUC